AUGAAUGACACAGUAACUAUCUGGACCAGGGAACUCAUGACCAACCAACUACUUCAAAGGAAACAAAUGGUCAUAGAUAUCCUUAACACUGGGAAGGCAACAGUACCAAAGACAGAAAUUCUGGAAAAAUUAGUCAAAAUAUACAAGACCACACUGGAUGUCAUCUUUGUAUUUGGAUUCAGAACUUAUUUUGGUGGUGGCAAGAUAGCUGACUUUGGUGUGAUUUAUGAUUUUUUUGGAUUAUGUAAAAAACCAUGAACCCAAACAUAGACUUGCAAGACAUGGCCUGCCUCCAUGAGAAGAAAAAGACCUCAAGAAAGCAGUGAGACGAAUGCAAGAAUAGAAUGAAAAAGCUCAGGGGGUUGGCAAAGGCCAAUGUUGGUGCUGGCAAAAAGCCAAAGGAG
rnacentral:lncRNA from 1 species